rnacentral:misc_RNA from 1 species
GGAGUCCCUGAUGUGUCUCCGACGAGCAGGAGCAGAUAUAAUCCUAACAUAUUUUGCUCUUCAGGCAGCUAGAUGUUUGUGUGGUGAGAGGUGAGAGUUAUGUUAAUGUGCAGUUGUAGAGAAUUUUUGGUCGUCAAAACCUCAAAUGAGUGCCUCUUUAUCGCAGUAAAUUCUGUAGUAUUAUUUGAAUCUGUUUUGUAAUUUAAUUCAAUGCUCAAUUUGCUAAUAUAUU